rnacentral:rRNA from 1 species
CCAAAAUUAAACUCACCACCAUCAAUAACCCCACAUACACUAAACAGUACAAAACAAACCAUUUUCCCCUCUUAGUAUGGGAGACAGAAAAGAGCUCCGGCGCAAUAAUAAAAGUACCGCAAGGGAAUGCUGAAAGAGAAAUGAAACAACCCAGUAAAGCCUAAAAAAGCAGAGACUAAACCUCGUACCUUUUGCAUCAUGAUUUAGCUAGCAAAACUUAAGCGAAGAAUACUUUAGUUUAAAUCCCCGAAACUAAGUGAGCUACUUCAAGACAGCCUAUAACAGGGCGCACCCUUCUCUGUGGCAAAAGAGUGGGAAGAUCUUCGAGUAGCGGUGACAGACCUAUCGAACUUAGUUAUAGCUGGUUGCUUGGAAAGUGGAUAAAAGUUCAGCCUUCUGGCUUCUCCCCUCAACUUGGUACUACUCCAACCCGUGGCUUAAGAAACUAGAAGAGUUAGUCAAAGGAGGUACAGCCCCUUUGAAAAAGGACACAACCUUCCCAGGAGGAUAAGGAUCACAACAAACAAGGAUCAUUGUCAAGGUGGGCCUAAGAGCAGCCAUCCCUUUGAAAAGCGUUAAAGCUUAGACGUCAAGUGCAACCUUCAAUUCUGAUAAUUCAAUCUUAACCCCUAACCUUACCGAGCUAUCCCAUGCCCCCAUGGGAGUAAUCCUGCUAAUAUGAGUAAUAAGAGGACCACGACCCUCUCCCCGACACAAGUGUACAUCGGAACGAACCCCCACCGAAAUUUAACGGCCCCAACAAAAGAGGGAACUGGACCACACACACCUGAAACCAGAAAACUAUCCAGCAAUAUAACCGUUAACCCCACACUGGUGUGCCUGAUGGGAAAGGCUAAAAAAGAAAGAAGGAACUCGGCAAACACUCAAGCCUCGCCUGUUUACCAAAAACAUCGCCUCUUGCAAAACUAACGAAUAAGAGGUCACGCCUGCCCAGUGACUCUAAGUUUAACGGCCGCGGUAUUUUGACCGUGCAAAGGUAGCGCAAUCACUUGUCUUUUAAAUGGAGACCUGUAUGAAUGGCAUCACGAGGGCUUAACUGUCUCCUUUCUUAGGCCAAUGAAAUUGAUCUCCCCGUGCAGAAGCGGGGAUAACAACAUAAGACGAGAAGACCCUAUGGAGCUUUAGACACUAAGACAGUUUACGUCAAAUCUCCCUGCAUAAAGAACUGAACUAAAUAAGUCCUGUCCUAAUGUCUUUGGUUGGGGCGACCCCGGGGAGAUAAAGAACCCCUAUGUGGAACGGAAAUAUAUUUCCAAAACCAAGAGCCACCGCUCUAAGAAGCAGAACUUCUGACCAAUCUAGAUCCGGCAAAGCCGAUCAACGGACCGAGUUACCCUAGGGAUAACAGCGCAAUCCCCUUCUAGAGUCCCUAUCGACAAGGGGGUUUACGACCUCGAUGUUGGAUCAGGACAUCCUAAUGGUGCAGCCGCUAUUAAGGGUUCGUUUGUUCAACGAUUAAAGUCCUACGUGAUCUGAGUUCAGACCGGAGUAAUCCAGGUCAGUUUCUAUCUAUGACAUGACCUUUUCUAGUACGAAAGGACCGAAAAGGAAAGGCCAAUGCCUCAAGCACGCCUCACCCUUAUCUAAUGAAAUCAACUAAAAUAGACAAAAGGGCAUUCCCAACAGCCUGAGAGCAUGGCAA